rnacentral:rRNA from 1 species
CUACGUGCCAGCAGCCGCGGUAAUACGGAAGGUCCAGGCGUUAUCCGGAUUUAUUGGGUUUAAAGGGAGCGUAGGCCGUGGAUUAAGCGUGUUGUGAAAUGUAGACGCUCAACGUCUGAAUUGCAGCGCGAACUGGUUCACUUGAGUAUGCACAACGUAGGCGGAAUUCGUCGUGUAGCGGUGAAAUGCUUAGAUAUGACGAAGAACUCCGAUUGCGAAGGCAGCUUACGGGAGCACAACUGACGCUGAAGCUCGAAGGUGCGGGUAUCAAACAGGAUUAGAUACCCUGGUAGUCCGCACAGUAAACGAUGGAUGCCCGUUGUUAGUUCACUUUAGAAUUAGCGACCAAGCGAAAGCAUUAAGCAUCCCACCUGGGGAGUACGCCGGCAACGGUGAAACUCAAAGGAAUUGACGGGGGCCCGCACAAGCGGAGGAACAUGUGGUUUAAUUCGAUGAUACGCGAGGAACCUUACCCGGGCUUGAAUUGCAGACGAACGAUUCAGAGAUGAUGAGG